UUUUGUAUUGCUCUAUAAAAUGAGAUAAUGAAAAUUCAGCAGAGAUCUCCUUCACAAUUAUUUUCUCUAAUCUUUCAGCUUAUUUGCUGCUAGCAGAGGCUGCCAAGGGCCCUGGAAGAUGAUGAAGAGGGACCAUGACUUACAAAACGACUCUUUGUCAUGUGGGGUGUUCUCACUAAUGUUUGCAGAAAUGAUCCUCCAGGGACAACAAGGGCACCUCCAAUGCCUCCCUAUCGCUCAAGAGCGGGAGAGACUUGGGACUUUGUUGUUCAACUCCCUUGAUACAAAGACUCUAAGAAGAAAAAAGGGAAAAAUCGCCAAGUCUAAAAAUACAGGUAAGAACAGCCACAGACUGGGACUAAUUUUAGGUGUAUUGAGAUUCUAG
ensembl:lncRNA